rnacentral:lncRNA from 1 species
AUAGUAACUUUGAAGUUGAUCUUAUUAGUAGUAAUUUUUAAAUAUUUAGAGUUACCUUUGUUAGAUAUUAGUGACCCUUAAAGUCUUAUUUUGUUUCUUUUAUAUGGUGUUUAGGGCAUAUAUUGGAAAAUCCUUGUAAAAAAAAGAAUUGGAGAGGGAUUUCGGUAGCAAAAAGGAUAGUUAGGGCAUCCAUAUGAAUGAAUGGAGAU